rfam:Arabidopsis lyrata subsp. lyrata unplaced genomic scaffold ARALYscaffold_144, whole genome shotgun sequence.
AAACCGUGAUGAGGACAUUGAUUCUGAUAUCCUCUGAAACGCUCACAUGCUUCACAGAAAGUCUCAGCAUUCUUCUGAGUGAAGCCAGAAAGAUUCUGGGCCAAGACU